GUGCAGCAGGCGCGAAACUUCACACUGCACGAAAGCGCGAUGAGGGAAUCCCAAGUGCUUGCACGUAAGUGCAAGCUGUUUCUCUGCUUAAAAAGCAGAGAGAGUAAGGGCUGGGUAAGACGGGUGCCAGCCGCCGCGGUAAUACCUGCAGCUCGAGUGGUGACCGCUAUUAUUGGGCCUAAAACGUCCGUAGCCGGUCUAGUAAAUGCCUGGGUAAAUCGUGAGGCUCAACCUUACGAAUUCCGGGGUAGACUGCUAGACUUGAGACCGGGAGAGGCUAGAGGUACUCCUGGGGUAGAGGUGAAAUUCUGUAAUCCUAGGGGGACCACCAGUGGCAAAGGCGUCUAGCUAGAACGGGUCUGACGGUGAGGGACGAAGCCCUGGGGCGCAAACCGGAUUAGAUACCCCCGUAGU
rnacentral:rRNA from 1 species